ensembl:lncRNA
CACGGAGCUGGCUGAAAGGUGGAACAGCUUGGUUUCACACUUGGCCGUUAUCCAUUGACUCCGUUUACCUAAUCAGCGCGCCGGUUAAUGAGCACAGACGACAUUGUGGUCCCUCAACACAACAUUAAUUCAAAUCCUCUUUCGCUCGGCUUUAAUGGGGAAACCGUAACAGGACGUGUCAGCAAACCGAGGGAUUGAGCGAGGAGGCGACCUGGGAGGAGGAGGAGGCGAAUCGGUCCAAAGGGUGACAGAGCAGUCUGAGAAAAGGACGCGACAGCAAGAGCAAGACGGUCAAAGGAGUGGCAGAAUGCCGGGGAGGAGAGGACUGGGACGGGAUCGGACGGGACGCGGAGGACAGGAGUCAUCGCUAUGGUAACGGAGAGCGGUGGCGAGGGCCGAGCGGCGCUGACUCACUGUGAUGCGCUUUCAGUGAGACAUGGAAUGUCACGGUGCACCCCGGGGAGAGGGUCAUCACUCCAAGGGACCAGUGGCUGUCACCAGAGGCUCGGUCUGAGACACUGUUGCCGUGGUAACAACUUUUCCGAUUUGAUGACAGGCAUGAAAGGCAUGUUAAGAGAUUGAAUGUUUCUGCAAGGGCGCACACACACACACACACACACACACACACACACACGUAACUUCCCCCCUGGAGAGAUUGGUGUGUGUGUUUGUGGUAGUCUCUUUUUAUUACUUCAUCUUUGUAAGGUUCUAGAAUGAUGUUAUUUAGUAGACGUUCGUUUAGAGUCCACUUGAGAUUACGAGCGGAAUGACGCUCACCAUUAAUCUGUAUUGUGAAGCUGUAUUGUAAUAAACAUAUACCAUCAUUUCACAGCAUGCAAUGUAUGUGUCAUCAAUCUCUGUGAUCAUGUGCAUCACUUGUCAUCUACGCUGAAAUCAGAUCAAUGAAUUUUGACAUGCCGUUGAUAAUUAUUCACUCUGAGAGCUGAGCAUUUGCAUUUCAGAGUGCUUUUGUGUGGCUCACCAUACUGAACUGAUUGCAUUUUCAUAACAAUGGAAGGAUGAAAAUAGAAAGAAUGAGACAAUAAAUGAUGUCUUGCAAGCGUGGAUUCAUGUAAUAAAUCUGCAGCUUGCAGGAUUUUUACUCUCUGCUGUGUCACGCCAACUUUUUACAUCCGUUUUCUAAAUGUCUAAAUAAAGACAAAAAGACAAAAGACAAUAAAAAGGUAUACGAAAUAUAAAAGUAAACAGCUCAGUUGUUCUACUGUGUUCGGCUCAUGUUUAUACUCUUGGAUCUUCACAUUUCAAGAGUCCAACUCAUCUUCAUUUCUAGUGAAGUUGAGCACUUCAUUGAAGGAGUGAAUGAAUUAAGAAGCUCUUCAGCCAUAUCUUAACUCACACUUAAGAAGGCAAAAAGGUUGUUUUUUAAAAA